AUUCUUUUAUUUCUGAAGAGGCAGAGCCAAGUCCCUUUGUUGGUCAGUGGCAAGGUAAACCUGUUUCUUUCAUGCGAUCCAACGAGCAUGGAAACCAUGAAACACAGAGGAAAUGGGACACUUAAGGUCUUCAUGGCUUGCCUCUCAAAUUUGUUCAAGUUGACCAAAACGCCAGGAAUUGGUGGAGAAAGCUUGGUAACGUGGUAUUAUAGCUGAAGGUUUGCAAGGGGAAGAUCGGUUGGAGGCUCUCUUGUACUCAGCUAUCUAUCUCAAGUGGAUAAACACAGGGCAAAUAUCUUGUUUUGAAGAUGGAGGUCACCACCGCCCCAAUAGGGAUGCUAAGAUUUCAAGGCUUAUAUUUCGUGAACUAGAGCGACACACUACUCGGAAGGAUAUAUCUC